rnacentral:rRNA from 1 species
UGGGGAAUAUUGGGCAAUGGGCGAAAGCCUGAUCCAGCCAUGCCGCGUGUGUGAAGAAGGUCUUCGGAUUGUAAAGCACUUUAAGUUGGGAGGAAGGGCAUUAACCUAAUACGUUAGUGUUUUGACGUUACCGACAGAAUAAGCACCGGCUAACUCUGUGCCAGCAGCCGCGGUAAUACAGAGGGUGCAAGCGUUAAUCGGAAUUACUGGGCGUAAAGCGCGCGUAGGUGGUUUGUUAAGUUGGAUGUGAAAUCCCCGGGCUCAACCUGGGAACUGCAUUCAAAACUGACUGACUAGAGUAUGGUAGAGGGUGGUGGAAUUUCCUGUGUAGCGGUGAAAUGCGUAGAUAUAGGAAGGAACACCAGUGGCGAAGGCGACCACCUGGACUAAUACUGACACUGAGGUGCGAAAGCGUGGGGAGCAAACA